rnacentral:rRNA from 1 species
UUUUUCGGAGAGUUUGAUCCUGGCUCAGGACGAACGCUGGCGGCGUGCCUAAUACAUGCAAGUCGAGCGGAGUAAGGUGAAACUUGUUUCACCUAGCUUAGCGGCGGACGGGUGAGUAACACGUAGGUAACCUGCCCAUAAGACUGGGAUAACUACCGGAAACGGUAGCUAAUACCGGAUAGGUUCUUCUCUCGCAUGGGAGGGGAAAGAAAGACGGAGCAAUC